UCUGUGAUCUAGAGGUAAUGUACUUGCCUCGAAACCUCGGGGUCCCGGGUUCGAUUCCCGGUUGAGGAA
rnacentral:tRNA from 1 species